GCAAGUCGAACGAUAAGCUACUUCGGGUGGUGGACAGUGGCGGACGGGUGAGUAACGCGUGGGCACCUGCCUUUUGGUACGGAACAACAGUUGGAAACGACUGCUAAUACCGUAUAUUCCCUACGGGGGAAAGAUUUAUCGCCGAAAGAUGGGCCCGCGUUAGAUUAGCUAGUUGGUGAGGUAAUGGCUCACCAAGGCGACGAUCUAUAGCUGGUUUGAGAGGAUGAUC
rnacentral:rRNA from 1 species